UACGAAGGGGGCUAGCGUUGCUCGGAAUCACUAGGGCGUAAAGCGCACGUAGGCGGAUUGUUAAGUCGGGGGUGAAAUCCUGGAGCUCAACUCCAGAACUGCCUUUGAUACUGGCAAGUCUCGAGUCCGGGAGAGGUGAGUGGAACUGCGAGUGUAGAGGUGAAAUCGUAGAGUAUUCGCAAGAACACCUGCGGCGAAGG
rnacentral:rRNA from 1 species